UACAGAGGGGGGCAAGCGUUUGUUCGGAAUUACUGGGCGUAAAGCGCGUGUAGGCGGCUUGGCAAGUCGGGUGUGAAAGCCCCGGGCUCAACCUGGGAAGUGCACUCGAAACUGCUUCGCUUGAGUACUGGAGAGGGUAGUGGAAUUCUCGGUGUAGAGGUGAAAUUCGUAGAUAUCGAGAGGAACAUCGGUGGCGAAGGCGGCUACCUGGACAGUUACUGACGCUGAGACGCGAAAGCGUGGGGAGCAACAGG
rnacentral:rRNA from 1 species